rnacentral:rRNA from 1 species
CCCCUAGAGGAGCCUGUUCUAUAAUCGAUAAUCCACGAUCUACCUCACCAUCUCUUGCCAAUACCGCCUAUAUACCGCCGUCACCAGCCUACCCUAUGAAGGAUAUAAAAGUAGGCAAAAUCGCACAACAGCUAACAAGUCAGGUCAAGGUGUAGCUUACUGAGAUGGAAGAAAUGGGCUACAUUUUCUAAACUAGAAAUCAUUUCACGGAAAGAACUAUGAAACAAGUCCUAUAAGCAGGAUUUAGCAGUAAAUAGGGAUCAGAAUGCCCAAUUUAAGCCGGUCCUAAGGUACGC